rnacentral:rRNA from 1 species
AUACGUAGGGUGCGAGCGUUGUCCGGACUUACUGGGCGUAAAGAGCUCGUAGGUGGUUUGUCGCGUCGUCUGUGAAAUUCCGGGGCUUAACUCCGGGCGUGCAGGCGAUACGGGCAUAACUUGAGUACUGUAGGGGAGACUGGAAUUCCUGGUGUAGCGGUGAAAUGCGCAGAUAUCAGGAGGAACACCGGUGGCGAAGGCGGGUCUCUGGGCAGUAACUGACGCUGAGGAGCGAAAGCAUGGGUAGCGAACAGGAUUAGAUACCCUGGUAGUCCAUGCCGUAAACGGUGGGCGCUAGGUGUAGGGGUCUUCCACGACUUCUGUGCCGUAGCUAACGCAUUAAGCGCCCCGCCUGGGGAGUACGGCCGCAAGGCUAAAACUCAAAGGAAUUGACGGGG